rnacentral:lncRNA from 1 species
CCAUCCCAUUCCCCUUUUCCCAUUCCCGUUCCCCCAUUCCCGUUCUCUCCAUCCCAUUCCCAUUCUCUCCAUCCCAUUCCCACUCCUUCAUCCCGUUGCCGUUAUCCCGGUCCCGUUCCCAUUCCCGUUAUCCCGUUCCUGGUCUCUCCAUCCCAUUCCCAUUUUCCAGGUCCCGUUCCCGUUCUCCCAUUCCCGUUAUCCCGGUCCCGUUCCCGUUAUUCAAGCCCCGUUCCCGUUCUCCCCAUCCCAUUCCCGAUCUCCCAUUCCUCCUUCCCGUUAUCCCGUCCCAUUCCCCCGUUCCCAUCCCCAUUAUCCCACUCCCGUUCUCUCCAUCCCGUUCCCGUUCUCCACAUCACGUUCCCCUUCUCCCGUUAUCCCAUUCCCGUUAUCCCAUCCCAGUCAUUCCAUUCCCGUUAUCCCAUUCCCGUUCUCCCGUUCCCGGUAUCCCAUUCUCCCAUCCCCAUUAUCCCAUUCCCAUUAUCUCAUUCCCGUUCUCCCCAUCCCCGUUCUCCCACUCUCCCGGUCUCCCGUUCCCGGUAUCCCAUUCUCCCAUCCCCGUUAUCCCAUUCCCAUUAUCCCGUUAUCCAAUCCCCGUUCUCCCGUUCCCGGUUCCCGCCGCCCUACCUUGAGCUCGGCGAUGGUGAGCGCGGGCGAGAAGCGCUUGCAGGCGCGGAAGGCGUUCAGGGAGCUGCUCACGGCCAGCCACACCGGGCCCGGCCCGGCCCCGCCGCCGUUCAUGGCCCCGCCGCGCCGCAGCCCGGCCGGCGGCCGUGGGCACAGCCGGGCUCCUCCCGGGAGCCCCUCCGGGACCCUCCCCGGGAGCCGCCCCGGGAGCCGCCCCGGGAGCCCCGAACGGCUCCGGGCCCGCCCGAACCGGAGCCGCUUCUGGAACCUUCACGGGCCGCCACCGCUGAGGGAACGGCCAAUCAGAGCCGCCGGAUGGCGUCACGUGUUCAAAACCGACCAAUAGCGAUCGAGAAAAGGCGGGACGGACAGGAAACUACCCAAUUGACGCGUAUGGGGGUUGACCAAUAGGAACAAAGACAGGGAGGGGUAAAAAGGGGAUUAGCCAAUAAGAAGACGAGUAGGGCGUGGCUAACAGCGAAUGGGCCAAUGCAACAAGGAAUGGGCGGGGUAAACAGAAUUGACCAAUAGAUAGA